rnacentral:rRNA from 1 species
ACUCCUACGGGGCGCAGCAGUGGGGAAUAUUGCGCAAUGGGGGCAACCCUGACGCAGCAACGCCGCGUGCAGGAAGAAGGUCUUCGGAUUGUAAACUGUUGUCGCAGGGGAAGAAGACAGUGACGGUACCCUGUGAGAAAGUCACGGCUAACUACGUGCCAGCAGCCGCGGUAAUACGUAUGGGGCAAGCGUUAUCCGGAUUUACUGGGUGUAAAGGGAGCGCAGGCGGCUUGGCAAGUCUGAUGUGAAAGGCUGGGGCUCAACCCCAGGACUGCAUUGGAAACUGUUAGGCUGGAGUGUCGGAG